UGCGGUCUGCGCCUCUCGGCAGGAAACACUGAAUCCUCGGGGCCUUACUCGAUCCUAAGGGAGCUGUCCCUGACCUGGCCCGUGGGCUGGGAUAUAUGGCACCCACCUACUUAUGUAGGCGCCCAGGAUCUAAAAACUCCACCGGUUGUUGUGGAUCGCAC
rnacentral:other from 1 species